rnacentral:rRNA from 1 species
CGGCACGGGUGAGUAACGCGUAUCCAACCUGCCGUCUACUCUUGGACAGCCUUCUGAAAGGAAGAUUAAUACAAGAUGGCAUCAUGAGUCCGCAUGUUCACAUGAUUAAAGGUAUUCCGGUAGACGAUGGGGAUGCGUUCCAUUAGAUAGUAGGCGGGGUAACGGCCCACCUAGUCUUCGAUGGAUAGGGGUUCUGAGAGGAAGGUCCCCCACAUUGGUACUGAGACACGGUCCAA